rnacentral:rRNA from 1 species
UUAGGAUUUGAUCAUGGCUCAGAACGAACGCUGGCGGCAUGCCUAAUACAUGCAAGUCGAACGAGACCUUCGGGUCUAGUGGCGCACGGGUGCGUAACGCGUGGGAAUCUGCCCUUGGGUUCGGAAUAACAGUUGGAAACGACUGCUAAUACCGGAUGAUGACGUAAGUCCAAAGAUUUAUCGCCCAGGGAUGAGCCCGCGUAGGAUUAGCUAGUUGGUGGGGUAAAGGCCUACCAAGGCGACGAUCCUUAGCUGGUCUGAGAGGAUGAUCAGCCACACUGGGACUGAGACACGGCCCAGACUCCUACGGGAGGCAGCAGUAGGGAAUAUUGGACAAUGGGGGCAACCCUGAUCCAGCAAUGCCGCGUGAGUGAUGAAGGCCUUAGGGUUGUAAAGCUCUUUUACCCGAGAUGAUAAUGACAGUAUCGGGAGAAUAGCUCCGCUUAUCC